CGAGCACCGGUGUGGGAAACGGAGGCAGGCGGUCGGUCGUCGUCGACGUGGGAAACGGAGGCAGAAGCGGCGAACUCCAGGAGAGAUGUUGGCCCCGAUGAGAAGACGGUGAGCGACAACGUCGCCGAGGUGAUCCACGAGCACGGCGCGGAGGCGUUGGAAGGGUUCCCAUUAACGCCGAAGAAGAUGGAGAUCCUCACCACUAAGGUGAAGGGCAGAGAUGUGUCCCUCACCUUGGACUGGAGUCGCUGCUGGUCUCCUGCGAACUGGACUUUGUCAUUGACAAGGACAGAGAGAAAUGAAUUGUAUAAAUUCCUCCCCAAGCUCAUCGAGGAGUACGACAAUAUGAGGGAGGAGUCGAGCGCCGGCGCCGUCGUCUUCGUCUCCAGCGACCACGACCAUUGCUCCGCCAUGCCAUGGCUAGCGUUGCUGUUCGCCGCCGCCGAUGGCGACGACGGGCCGGCGGCGGCGGUGAGGAAGGGGCUGCGCUUCGACGCUGUCCCUUCACUCGUGGCGUUCGGUGGCCACGACGGAGGGGUGUUUGCCAGGGAGGUGAGGAUGGACGGCGGUCGCGGUGCACGGCGCCGGCACAUACCCGUUCAUGGAGGAGAGGCUAGAGGAGCCGGAGCGAGA
rnacentral:lncRNA from 1 species